rnacentral:rRNA from 1 species
AAACCAACAGGGAUUGCCUUAGUAACGGCGAGUGAAGCGGCAAAAGCUCAAAUUUGAAAGCUAGCACCUUCGGUGUUCGCGUUGUAAUUUGAAGAUAGUUUCCUUGAGUAGUCCUUUAUCUAUGUUCCUUGGAACAGGACGUCAUAGAGGGUGAGAACCCCGUAUGAUUUUGGAUACUACUCUUUGCGGGAUUCUAUCGAAGAGUCGAGUUGUUUGGGAAUGCAGCUCUAAGUGGGUGGUAAAUUCCAUCUAAAGCUAAAUAUUGGCGAGAGACCGAUAGCGAACAAGUACAGUGAUGGAAAGAUGAAAAGAACUCUGAAGAGAGAGUGAAAAAGUACGUGAAAUUGCUGAAAGGGAAGGGCUUGAGGUCAGACUUGGUGUUUAAUGAUUAUCAGUUCUUCUUGGACUGUGCACUCGUUUUUCACCGGGCCAAUAUCAGUUUUAGCGGUAGAGUACCCCUUGAAAUGUGGCUUCCUUCGGGGAGUGUUAUAGUCUUGGGGAGAUCUACUUGCUGGGACUGAGGACUGCGCUUCGGCAAGGAUAUUGGCGUAAUGACCUUAAGCCGC